rnacentral:rRNA from 1 species
UGAGGAAUAUUCCGCAAUGGGCGAAAGCCUGACGGAGCGACGCCGUGUGGACGAUGAAGGUCUUCGGAUUGUAAAGUCCUGUCAGAGGGGAAGAUAAUGACGGUACCCUCAGAGGAAGCCCCGGCUAACUACGUGCCAGCAGCCGCGGUAAUACGUAGGGGGCGAGCGUUGUCCGGAAUUACUGGGCGUAAAGCGCAUGUAGGUGGCCUUGUAAGUCAGGUGUAAAAGGUAUGGGCUCAACCCAUAUAUGCAUUUGAUACUGCUUGGCUCGAGAGUAUUAGAAGGAAACGGAACUUACGGUGUAGCGGUGAAAUGCGUAGAUAUCGUAAGGAACACCAGUGGCGAAAGCGGUUUCCUAGAAUACUUCUGACGCUGAGGUGCGAAAGCUAGGGGAGCAAACGGG